rnacentral:RNase_P_RNA from 2 species
GUUGUGGGUCGGACGGCUGCGGUGGGAGAGAAAACCCGUCGAGGAAAGUCCGGACACCGAAGGGCAAGGACGGUGGGUAACGCCCACCCGGGGAAACCCGCGGGAAAGUGCCACAGAAAUACACGGCCGAUGGCGCGACCACACGUGAGUCGCGAUCAGGCAAAGGUGAAAAGGUGCGGUAAGAGCGCACCGGCGUCGUGGUGACACGGCGGCCAGGUAAACCCCGUCCGGUGCAAGACCAAACAGGAUCGCUGACCCGGCCCGGCGAGAUCCAGGUAGGUCGCAGGUCACGAAAGUGCCCACCGGUCCGAUCAACCGGUGAGAUAGAUGGUCGUUCAAGACAGGAUCCGGCUUACAGACCCACUAAAGGA